CCUACGGGUGGCAGCAGUGAGGAAUAUUGGUCAAUGGCCAUAAGCCUGAACCAGCCAAGUCGCGUGAGGGAUGACGGUCCUACGGAUUGUAAACCUCUUUUGUCAGGGAAUAAAGUGCGGGUCGUGACCCGUUUUGUGUGUACCUGAUGAAUAAGGAUCGGCUAACUCCGUGCCAGCAGCCGCGGUAAUACGGAGGAUCCGAGCGUUAUCCGGUUUUAUUGGGUUUAAAGGGUGCGCAGGCGGCGGUUAAAGUCAGCGGUAAAAUCUUGGGGCUCAACCAAGAAUCGCCGUUGAAACUGGGAGGCUUGAGUACGUGUGGGGUAGGCGGAAUGCGUGGUGUAGCGGUGAAAUGCUUAGAUAUCACGCAGAACCCCGAUUGCGAAGGCAGCCUGCCAAGGCGUAACUGACGCUGAUGCACGAAAGCGUGGGGAUCGAACAGGAUUAGAUACCCCAGUAGUC
rnacentral:rRNA from 1 species